rnacentral:rRNA from 1 species
GCCUAACACAUGCAAGUCGAGCGGCCGUAGCAAUACGGCAGCGGCAGACGGGAGAGUAACACGUGGGAACGUACCUUUCAGUUCGGAACAACCAAGGGAAACUUUGGCUAAUACCGGAUACGCCCGUAAGGGGAAAGAUUUAUCGCUGAAAGAUCGGCCCGCGUCUGAUUAGCUAGUUGGUGGGGUAAUGGCCCACCAAGGCGACGAUCAGUAGCUGGUCUGAGAGGAUGAUCAGCCUCAUUGGGACUGAGACACGGCCCAAACUCCUACGGGAGGCAGCAGUGGGGAAUAUUGGACAAUGGGCGAAAGCCUGAUCCAGCCAUGCCGCGUGGAUGAUGAAGGCCCUAGGGUUGUAAAGUCCUUUCGACGGGGAAGAUAAUGACGGUACCCGUAGAAGAAGCCCCGGCUAACUUCGUGCCAGCAGCCGCGGUAAUACGAAGGGGGCUAGCGUUGCUCGGAAUCACUGGGCGUAAAGCGCACGUAGGCGGAUCGUUAAGUCAGAGGUGAAAUCCCGGAGCUCAACUCCGGAACUGCCUUUGAUACUGAUGAUCUUGAGUUCGGGAGAGGUGAGUGGAACUGCGAGUGUAGAGGUGAAAUUCGUAGAUAUUCGCAAGAACACCAGUGGCGAAGGCGGCUCACUGGCCCGAUACUGACGCUGAGGUGCGAAAGCGUGG